ACUACGCUGGCGGCGUGCCUAAUACAUGCAAGUCGAACGGGAUUCUUUGAUCAGCUUGCUGAGAGAAGGAUCUAGUGGCGGACGGGUGAGUAACGCGUGGGAAUCUGCCUCUUACUGGGGGAUAACAGUGGGAAACUACUGCUAAUACCGCAUAAGAUCUUCGGAUGAAAGGUGCAACUGCACCGGUAAGAGAUGAGCCCGCGUCCCAUUAGCUAGUUGGUGAGGUAAAGGCUCACCAAGGCGACGAUGGGGUAGCCGGCCUGAGAGGGUGAACGGCCACACUGGGACUGAGACACGGCCCAGACUCCUACGGGAGGCAGCAGUAGGGAAUCUUCCGCAAUGGGCGCAAGCCUGACGGAGCGACGCCGCGUGAGUGAUGAAGGCCUUCGGGUCGUAAAGCUCUGUUCUUGAGGACGAAUAAGCCAGGGAGUGGAAAGCCCUGGUGAUGACUGUACUCAAGGAGAAAGCUCCGGCUAACUACGUG
rnacentral:rRNA from 1 species